UACGGAGGGUGCGAGCGUUAUUCGGAAUCACUGGGCGUAAAGGGCGCGUAGGCGGCCUGGUAAGUCAGGGGUGAAAUCCCACGGCUCAACCGUGGAAUUGCCUUUGAAACUGCUGGGCUUGGAUCCUGGAGAGGGUGGCGGAAUUCCUGGUGUAGCAGUGAAAUGCGUAGAUAUCGGGAGGAACACCAGUAGCGAAGGCGGCCAUCUGGCUGAUAACUGACGCUGAGGUGCGAGAGCGUGGGGAGCAAACAGG
rnacentral:rRNA from 1 species